GGGCGGGGGUUGACCUAUACAUGCAAGUCGAGCGAAUGGAUUAAGAGCUUGCUCUUAUGAAGUUAGCGGCGGACGGGUGAGUAACACGUGGGUAACCUGCCCAUAAGACUGGGAUAACUCCGGGAAACCGGGGCUAAUACCGGAUAACAUUUUGAACCGCAUGGUUCGAAAUUGAAAGGCGGCUUCGGCUGUCACUUAUGGAUGGACCCGCGUCGCAUUAGCUAGUUGGUGAGGUAACGGCUCACCAAGGCAACGAUGCGUAGCCGACCUGAGAGGGUGAUCGGCCACACUGGGACUGAGACACGGCCCAGACUCCUACGGGAGGCAGCAGUAGGGAAUCUUCCGCAAUGGACGAAAGUCUGACGGAGCAACGCCGCGUGAGUGAUGAAGGCUUUCGGGUCGUAAAACUCUGUUGUUAGGGAAGAACAAGUGCUAGUUGAAUAAGCUGGCACCUUGACGGUACCUAACCAGAAAGCCACGGCUAACUACGUGCCAGCAGCCGCGGUAAUACGUAGGUGGCAAGCGUUAUCCGGAAUUAUUGGGCGUAAAGCGCGCGCAGGUGGUUUCUUAAGUCUGAUGUGAAAGCCCACGGCUCAACCGUGGAGGGUCAUUGGAAACUGGGAGACUUGAGUGCAGAAGAGGAAAGUGGAAUUCCAUGUGUAGCGGUGAAAUGCGUAGAGAUAUGGAGGAACACCAGUGGCGAAGGCGACUUUCUGGUCUGUAACUGACACUGAGGCGCGAAAGCGUGGGGAGCAAACAGGAUUAGAUCCUUUGGU
rnacentral:rRNA from 1 species